GACGAACGCUGGCGGCGUGCUUAACACAUGCAAGUCGAGCGGUAAGGCCCUUUCGGGGGUACGACGAGCGGCGAACGGGUGAGUAACACGUGGGUGACCUGCCCUCAGCUCUGGGAGUAAGCCCGGGAAACUGGGUCUAAUACUGGAUACGACUCCAUGACGCAUGUUGUGGGGUGGAAAGCCUUGUGCGGCUGAGGAUGGGCCCGCGGCCUAUCAGCUUGUUGGUGGGGUGAUGGCCUACCAAGGCGACGACGGGUAGCCGGCCUGAGAGGGCGACCGGCCACACUGGGACUGAGACACGGCCCACGACUCCUACGGGAGGCAGCAGUGGGGAAGUCUUGCGCAAUGGGCGAAAGCCUGACGCAGCGACGCCGCGUGAGGGAUGACGGCCU
rnacentral:rRNA from 1 species